rnacentral:rRNA from 1 species
UACGUAGGGGGCAAGCGUUGUCCGGAUUUAUUGGGCGUAAAGAGCGUGUAGGCGGCCUGACAGGUCUGCUGUGAAAACUCGAGGCUCAACCUCGAGAUGUCGGCGGAAACCGUCUGGCUAGAGUCCGGAAGAGGAGAGUGGAAUUCCUGGUGUAGCGGUGAAAUGCGCAGAUAUCAGGAGGAACACCAGUGGCGAAGGCGGCGAUCUGGGAAGAUACUGACGCUGAGGUGCGAAAGCGUGGGGAGCAAACAGG